rnacentral:rRNA from 1 species
UACGUAGGGGGCGAGCGUUGUCCGGAAUUACUGGGCGUAAAGGGUGCGUAGGUGGCACUUUAAGUUGGAUGUGAAAUCCCCGUGCUUAACAUGGGAGCUGCAUCCAAUACUGGAGAGCUAGAGUGCAGGAGAGGUAAGCGGAAUUCCUAGUGUAGCGGUGAAAUGCGUAGAUAUUAGGAGGAACACCAGUGGCGAAGGCGGCUUACUGGACUGUAACUGACACUGAGGCACGAAAGCGUGGGGAGCAAACAGGAUUAGAUACCCUGGUAGUCCACGCUGUAAACGAUGAAUACUAGGUGUAGGGGGUAUCAACUCCCUCUGUGCCGCAGCAAACGCAAUAAGUAUUCCGCCUGGGGAGUACGGCCGCAAGGUUGAAACUCAAAUGAAUUGACGGGG